GCCUGGGUGGCUCAGUGGUUGAGCAUCUGCCUUCAGCUCAGGACAUGAUCCUGGGUCUGGGGAUCGAGUCCCACAUCAGGCU
rfam:Canis lupus familiaris chromosome 14, whole genome shotgun sequence.